rnacentral:rRNA from 1 species
CCCUUAGAUGUUCGGGGCCGCACGCGCGCUACACUGAAGGAAUCAGCACGUCUUUCUCCUUGUCCGAAAGGACUGGGUAACCCGCUGAACCUCCUUCGUGCUAGGGAUUGGGGCUUGUAAUUCUUCCCCAUGAACGAGGAAUUCCCAGUAAGCGCGAGUCAUAAGCUCGCGUUGAUUACGUCCCUGCCCUUUGUACACACCGCCCGUCGCUACUACCGAUUGGAUGGUUUAGUGAGAUCCUCGGAUUGGUCCCGGCGCGGCCUCUGGUCGUGCCGGAGUGCCGAAAAGAAUGUCGAACUUGAGCAUCUAGAGGAAGUAAAAGUCGUAACA